AGAAUCAACGCUGGCGGCGUGCCUAACACAUGCAAGUCGAACGAGAAAGUCCGCAAGGACAAGUAAAGUGGCGACCGGGUGAGUAGCACGUGACUAACCUACCUUUUAGUGGGGGAUAACUCCGGGAAACCGGGGCUAAUACCGCAUAACAUCGCAAGAUCAAAGCAGCAAUGCGCUGGAAGAGGGGGUCGCGGCUGAUUAGCUAGUUGGCGGGGUAAUGGCCCACCAAGGCGAAGAUCGGUAUCCGGCCUGAGAGGGCGCACGGACACACUGGAACUGAAACACGGUCCAGACUCCUACGGGAGGCAGCAGUGGGGAAUUUGCGCAAUGGGGGAAACCCUGACGCAGCAACGCCGCGUGGAGGAUGAAGUCCCUUGGGACGUAAACUCCUUUCGACCAAGACGAUAAUGACGGUACUGGUGGAAGAAGCACCGGCUAACUCUGCGCCAGCAGCCGC
rnacentral:rRNA from 1 species